rnacentral:rRNA from 1 species
GACGAACGCUGGCGGCGCGCCUAACACAUGCAGGUCGAACGAGAGAUGAGGAGCUUGCUCUUCAAAUCGAGUGGCGAACGGGUGAGUAACGCGUGAGGAACCUGCCUCAAAGAGGGGGACAACAGUUGGAAACGACUGCUAAUACCGCAUAAGCCCACGGCUCGGCAUCGAGCAGAGGGAAAAGGAGUGAUCCGCUUUGAGAUGGCCUCGCGUCCGAUUAGCUAGUUGGUGAGGUAACGGCCCACCAAGGCGACGAUCGGUAGCCGGACUGAGAGGUUGAACGGCCACAUUGGGACUGAGACACGGCCCAGACUCCUACGGGAGGCAGCAGUGGGGAAUAUUGCACAAUGGGGGAAACCCUGAUGCAGCGACGCCGCGUGGAGGAAGAAGGUCUUCGGAUUGUAAACUCCUGUUGUUGAGGAAGAUAAUGACGGUACUCAACAAGGAAGUGACGGCUAACUACGUGCCAGCAGCCGCGGUAAAACGUAGGUCACAAGCGUUGUCCGGAAUUACUGGGUGUAAAGGGAGCGCAGGCGGGAGAACAAGUUGGAAGUGAAAUCCAUGGGCUCAACCCAUGAACUGCUUUCAAAACUGUUUUUCUUGAGUAGUGCAGAGGUAGGCGGAAUUCCCGGUGUAGCGGUGGAAUGCGUAGAUAUCGGGAGGAACACCAGUGGCGAAGGCGGCCUACUGGGUAC